rnacentral:lncRNA from 1 species
UAAUCUUUCCUUAAUGGUUCCCCAAACCUCAUCAUAUAUCGCUCCGUUUUUGGGCCGGGUGUAUAGUUCAACUACUGCCUCUCGGCUCAAUGAGUUAAGGUCAAUGUCUUCCUCUAGUCUCAAUGACUCAAGGUCAAUGUCAGAUCCUUCAUGUUGCAAUUGUUCUUCUACACACAGAAAAACAUAAUUAGGUUGAUCUAAUUUGUUAUUGCAAUAGUAGUAUACAUACUCCAAUUUUUCUCCUUCCUUGAAAAGUUUUGUUUUUUUUUUGGUACAAAAAAGAGGGCAGAGCCCUUAUUGAUUAAUCUUUAACAAUGAUAACAUGAAAAAUUAGUCAUAUAUAAUUAUUCCGCUAAAA